rnacentral:rRNA from 1 species
UACAUGGGGUGCAAACGUUGCUCGGAAUGACUGGGCGUAAAGGGCGCGUAGGCGGAUGGCACAGUCAGAUGUGAAAUUCCCGGGCUUAACCUGGGGGCUGCAUUUGAUACGUGUUGUCUUGAGUUCGGAAGAGGGUCGUGGAAUUCCCAGUGUAGAGGUGAAAUUCGUAGAUAUUGGGAAGAACACCGGUGGCGAAGGCGGCGACCUGGUCCGACACUGACGCUGAGGCGCGAAAGCGUGGGGAGCAAACAGG